rnacentral:lncRNA from 1 species
UGGCCUUCUCGCGGCUUUCCCCCGAUAUCUCUCUUUAUUCCAGCUGCCUGAAACUCGGUCCCACGAAUGGCAGGCAGCGUCCAAAAUUCAACCCCGUAAAGCCAGCACCAGCCAAUAAAGCGCACGGAUGGAGGCCACGUGACAGCAGUGGGCCGGCCCUCCGGCUGAGCCCUGAUCUCUAUGGUUUCCGCGGCUCGCUAGAAGGAGUGUGGUCCACCGGAGGACUCCCUACAUUCUUCCUCCAUUACCUCACUGCCUCCGGUGGCUGCUGGGAUACCGGAGGACUCGGGUCCCGGCUCGACUCAGUCCUCCAGCCGCCCGGGGAAUACCUCUAGUUCUUCCCGGCCGCCGCCGCCGCCGCCGCCCCGCCGCUUCCUCCUCCGCCUGCCGGCCUCCUUCGCCCCGUCCCGUCCGCGCAGCGCGUCCGGCCCGCCCGCAGGCCAGCUUCUCUCGGGAGCCCCCACCCAGGCGCAUGGCUCCAUGAAGCAAGAGGAGGAGGCAGAGCGCGAGAGGUCCCGUCCGCCCCAGCCGCGUCUGGGCCAGGAUAAAAGCAAAACCAUAUUCCUGCUGCUGUCAGUUAUGAUGCACUGAGAAAACUUCAGAGACCUAAACUUUUUCCAGAGAAGAGAAGCUUUACUGGUGUUCCAGCCCUAAGCAACCAUCUUUCCUGUGAAAAAUUCCCUCUCGUACUUUAGUUCUGUGGAUCCAAAAUUUAUAGCAUUCUUCUACCACCACAGGGGCUCAUAUGACAUUAACAGACAAGACACUUUUCAGAAAGACAGGGCCCUGCUAAGGAGUUUCAAUCUGCUUCAUGGACGUUCAACCUGCCUCUCCCCUUGUCUGGAAUGAUCUUCCUCUGAUGUUCCAUCCACCUUACUUUUUCUGAUCUCUUUAUUCAGUGUAGCUUUCAAUUCACCUCAAGCAACGUGUUGGACCUUCCGGAGCUUCUCAGAAGACAGAGGGUUUUCUUUUGAGGUAAAUUUGAUAGUACAUUUUGAUAGUACGGGAGGCGAUACGGCAUGGUGACAGAAAAGCGCCGGCUUGGUUAGCAGGACCACCUGGCAGGGCUGCAGGCUGUGCCACUUACCAGGCAGGGGACCUUGGGCCAGCUGCUUGGCCUCACUCACCCUGUUUCUCAGCUGCAAUUGGGAUGAACAGACUGCCUGCUUCGGGGUUGCCUAAAACUCACAUUGGUUAAUGAUGUGAAAUGCUUAGCGCAGUGCCUGGCAUAGAGAGAAUUCUCAUUAGAUGAUACCUCAGCUGGGCUUUAGGAGCUACAGAAGAAGCUGCAUCUCCAUGAGCUCAGCGUGUUUCUAGCUUUCCUUUUUGUUUUCUAUUCAACCUUUCACCCAACUCAGCUUCUCAAUCCCUAAAUGACAAAGGUUUGGGAAGGAAGACUUGGACCGAGGCUUGCAUUUGUUUCUGAGAAUUAAACGUUAUGUUUUCUUCAAUCUAAAUAGGUUUGCUUGUACAGCCUUGUUGAAUGGUUUUUUUUUUUUUUCUCCAUGAUAAAUGACUCUCAACUUCUUUUCCCUCAUCUAAUUGCUUAUCUACAUACAAUGCCUGGAAGGAAAUAAAUGUAAUGGCCCGUAGCAACUGGCCUUCAGGUAUCAAGUUUAAGUCCCUUUAAGCAGAACAGCAAAUUGAGCACAGAAUGAACUGGUUUCAUGGUAGCGUACUGCAAUUAGAUGCAAGAAUAGGGAAAGCAGGGUGCUUCAAGUGGUGACACAAUUAGUAUAGCACUGAGGGACUUCUCUUUCCACUUCUUCAACUCCGCCUGCAUUCCGCUGGCUGAAGAGUUGAUGACAUCCCUGAAAAAUCUUCCCUCUCUUGUUUCUCUGAUGCCACCUCUGUGUUCUCCGCCUCACUGGCCACACUUCCUUUACCUCCCAAACUUUUAACUCUGAGUGUCCCAAACUUGUCUCAUCACCUACCCCUGCUGCCCAGCUCCCCAGCCUGUUCCCCUUCUGACACGGGCACUCUCCUUCUGCUCUCUUGGGAGAGAAACAAUGAAGGCCUAUUUGGCACUUUUAUUUCUAUUCAAGGAACCAGACUGUGAACAAGUUUACCAUUUAGUCCUUUGGACUGUGUCUUGAAUUCAUCCCUCUUCUCCAUUCUCACCAGCACCAUCAUCAUGAUGGCUAAUAUUUCCUGAGCACCUUUCAUUCAGGCAUGAUGCCAGGUGCACCAACUUACUUAAUCCUCAUAGCCACCACCUGAGCAAGCUCCUGUUUUAUAAAUGGACCAGUUCUUGUUGCUGUUGUACAAGUUAUUUUCUUUCUAUAACGUCCUCCUUGUCCUCCUUCCACAUUCUUAAAGAAACUUUCCCUUCCUUUAAAGUACUCAGGGAGCCCUGCAUUGCUUCUUGAAGCCUUCUCCAGCUUCAUCAUCUCACAGUGGUCUCUCUUUUCACUAAAUGUCCAAUAUGCUGCACAUAAGUACCCCAAAGUUAGCACAGAAUUGUUCCAUGGCUGUCAUAUAUGUUAAAAAUCAUUAAAAGUUCAUUUUUUCUCCCAUUAUGGGAAGGAUACAUGCUCCUACUAGUAAAUUUAGUUGGUAGAAAAAAAUUAUCACUAUCUAGACUGCUUUCCCUUUAGUCUUUAUGCAUAGCUUUCUGUCUGCCUAUUUUUACUUUGUGUUUGUAACUUACUAUUAUAAAAUAUGCAUCUCUAUGUUCAUUGUCAACAUUAUUUACAAUAACAUGGAGUGGAUUUACAUGUAUUCUCUAUAUUUGGAUUAAAGGAGAUAGAGUAUGUGAAAUUAAAUGGGAGAAGUAUCUGAUACAUAACAGGCAAUACAAAUAUUAUCACAUAGCGUCAAUUUAUUUGUGAAUAUUGAAAGCUCCA